rnacentral:RNase_MRP_RNA from 1 species
UCCUCGCUCAAAGAAUCGCAUUCAAAGCUCACACACAGAGAACCACUUCGGUCCUCUCUCUUCACUCCCUCGGGGGUGAAGAACCUGCUUUGGGAGAAAGUCCCCGGACACCCUGGCCCUCUCUUUGUUUACAAAGAAGGGACUCUCAGGCAAUGCGGAAACGCGCCGCCAUAAAAGCAAUUUGAGAGCGGCUUACUGCCCUAUUCCCUCCCGGUUCCCGAGUUCUGUGCCCGACGCCCCUUCGUGGGGUGGACAUAAUGGUGGUGUAGCUUGGUCUCGGAGAGGGGUUUUUCAUUGGGUUGCCAUUCGUCGUGUUUGGAUAGUCAUGCGAUUGCUCGGUUUGGUUUUUUCCCUUCGCGGGGGGAAAUCUGGGCUGGGUAACUCAAUGGGGCUCAUUCUUGAGGCGAGG